rnacentral:rRNA from 1 species
GACGAACGCUGGCGGCGUGCUUAACACAUGCAAGUCGAACGGAAAGGCCCUGCUUUUGUGGGGUGCUCGAGUGGCGAACGGGUGAGUAACACGUGAGUAACCUGCCCUUGACUUUGGGAUAACUUCAGGGAACUGGGGCUAAUACCGGAUAGGAGCUCCUGCUGCAUGGUGGGGGUUGGAAAGUUUCGGCGGUUGGGGAUGGACUCGCGGCUUAUCAGCUUGUUGGUGGGGUAGUGGCUUACCAAGGCUUUGACGGGUAGCCGGCCUGAGAGGGUGACCGGCCACAUUGGGACUGAGAUACGGCCCAGACUCCUACGGGAGGCGGCAGUGGGGAAUAUUGCACAAUGGGCGGAAGCCUGAUGCAGCAACGCCGCGUGCGGGAUGACGGCCUUCGGGUUGUAAACCGCUUUCGCCUGUGACGAAGCGUGAGUGACGGUAAUGGGUAAAGAAGCACCGGCUAACUACG